AGAGGAAGCAAGACUUUACGGAACUAAGAGACUCCUCCUCCUCCUGCCAGUGACCUGGGUUCCUCACAGUAGAAGAAAAGCUCUUCCUCUGCUGUGAGUCUUUCUCUUCACCAUCGAUCCUGAUCAUCAAUACUGUCAUCAAAACUCCCAAAGCAUCUGGGUGUGAAACUGCACUGGCCAGGAGAAGACUGGACCUGCAGCACAUUUAAGGACCAGUUCCAUGUUCAUGCCUGCAUGACACCAGCUCUUAAAAAGAGUAACCUGUGGUGACUCUUGAGUCAGAGACCAGGCAUGUUGCUGCAGGGAAACGUUGCUGAGGACCAGUCAACGUUUCUGGACUAACUUCCUCUCAUCUGUGUAGCAAAAGGCCUUCUCAGUAAGACUCAACCUUCCUGUGUGCAGCAGAGACUGAACUGGUCCAUGGAGGCAGCAGAUGAUCAGCCUCUGGAAAAGGAAACCAUCACAUGGUGAUCACACCGUACAUCUCCACUGUGACAACAUGUUCUCAGACUGUCUAGUCUGCACCACCACACUGGACCACCACCAAAACAAAACUGAACUCAGCUCACACCAUCCAUCUUUGUAAAGAUUAUAUUUUAUAGUAUAGUUCCAUAUUAUUUAUAGUUAAAGAAUUAGUUUUGCAGUAAUAAUAGUAAUGAAAGAAUCACAAUAACUGCCAAUUAUAAUAAAAUAAUUAUUUAAUAAAGCAUAUU